ensembl:snRNA U6 U6 spliceosomal RNA
GUGCUUGCUUUGACAGCACAUAUACUUUUUUAAAAAAGGAACAAUACAGAGAUUAGUGUGUCCCCUGUGCAAGGAUGACAUGCAGAUUUGUGAAGCGUUCCAUUAAAAA